AGAUCCUCACUGCCUGGAUUUCUUGCCAUUGGAAGGGGUGCCUCUCCCUGAAGGUGGAUCUCUGAAGGAGGCAGGCCAGGCCUUCCAGCAAAGCUUUCUUUGCCUGGUGUGGUUGUCUAUCUCUCCAGGGGACAGCAAGUGACCGGCACAGAGGUGGUUCUGGAGUGUAUCAAGUGGAGCAUUAAAGGCUCUGCUGUGUGCCUGCAGAACGCAGGGACUGCCUUCCCAGCUGCCUCUGCGCAGCCAGAACCUUCCACUGAGAAGCCAGGCGCUUCUACAUGGUAGAGCUGAGCCAAGAACUUCAGACGUAACCAACGCACAGGACAAGCUCUGGGGACCGUGUCUCCUGAACGCACACGACACAAGCUGAGGGGAGCCACUCCUUAGAAACAAUUAAACAGGAAUAUUACAGGAUUCAGUAUCCCUCUUUGGGAACUGGUGGACCCGUCACCCCCAAAUGAAAUCAGCACUUCUCAAAGUGUCCUGUAUUUAUGGUAGCACUAGCCACAGUAGCCAGGAUACAAAAAAAAAAAAAAAAAAAAAGAAAAAAGAAAAAAGAAAAAAGAAAGAAAGAAAGAAAGACUUGUGAAUGGCUAAAGUUUGAUACACACCUCUAGAGAGAGGGGGAGAGAGAGAGCCUUAAAAAUUAAAAAUGAAUUUUAAGGAAUUAUAUCACAUUCUAAACAUGUGUAACAAACAAACAAAAAGGAGGAUGUUUCUUUGACCUUGUGGUUGUUUUAUAGGCUCCUCAUCAGAACACCUUAUAUCCUUAGCUGAGGUUCCUAUGUUCCCCAGAAACCAUAAGCCCCCUUAACUUUGCUCUGAUUUUUCUGACUGCUUUCUACACUUACUGAUAGUAGCACAACACCUUAGAAACCUGGAUCUUGAUGACAUCUGCACACAGCUUAAAGAGAAUAUUGGCUUCAACAUGCCACAAUUUAGACAUAUUUGGGGCUGGCCAUCUAGAAAUGGACUUUGGACUUGAAAUUCCCAGAACCCUCAGCAACACAGCGUCCCUCCACUCUGAUCCACAUGCUGUGGUCCAGGCGUAAGGUAGUGUGUCUGAGAGAACACUGUGAGGGACUCGGUCAGCUCACUGGACUCGGCUUCUCAUACUGUCUAAAUGUGAGCUCGGUGCUGGGUCUGUGUCCUGAUGACGCCACAGCCACUUCCUGUUGUGCAAAAACCAAGCUAUCAAGUUUGAACUGCUUUGAACUGCCAUCUUGAAUAUAGAGAAAUGGAGCACAGACGCUGGCCUGGUGCCCCCUUCUCCCAGUGUGAAGAAAUGGACGUCUGACUAGCAAGUUCCCUCUCAAAUUUUCAAGACUCCCAUAGUAAGAAAAGAAGAAAGCCAGAUGGUUCCAGUUUUGUUUGUGGAAGCAACCACAGAGGACUCACACUGAGCCCAGCUGCCUCUUCACCCUUGCAGGUUUCUGUGGGUUGUACCUGUUCCUCUUGGUUCUCCAUUGUUCCUUGUCCAUCAGUGGGUAGACAAACGUCAAUUAUUUCUGGUAAGAGGAAAAGAAGACUAACAUUCAGAAAGCCGUGCUGAGGGGACAUCCCAGAGUAUCUCAACCAUGGUGGAGUGCAUUUUGAGGAAAUGAUAGACGAUCUGGAUGAGGAAGGCAAGCAGGUUAUAGGCACUAUGUGGGUGCUGCUAGGAUUCCAAAUGAGCUACACACACAUACACACACACACACACACACACACACACACACCCCUUCAUACCUGUGAUUUGUGCACAUACAGCCUGUGUAAGUUCCUCAGAAGUCAAAGUUGAAAGCAUCCAUCUGUACUGUCCCGAGGCCACAAUCGUACCCUUGUCAUUGAUAGUCCUUGUCACAGUGUCUUAUGAUGUCUUCCUGGGUCAAAAUUUCAUUUUUCUCAGAGUAUAAUCUGAUGAACAGUUUCUAUGUUUUCCUAUAUUUUCUUCUGGGUUGACCAAAUAAUACUCACAACAUUUUUCUUCCUAUGAAUCAUAUUCAUCUGUGUGGCUGUGACAGUCAAGGGGCAGCGCCCAUGCUAUAGCCAGUGCCCAAGCUGUUGAGUAGAGACUCCAGGAGGCUGAGUCUCUGGGGUUGGCAAUAGACUAUAGGCACAUGAACUUUUCAAAUCAGUGAAGCACAGGUAGAAGUUAUACCUGCCACUCCCGAGCAGGUAUGAUUAGAGUAGUCAGGGGCCUCUGGCUUGCCUCUUUUUCUUCUGCUAGAAUACUGGCAGACUCCACAACUAUAUUGCCAGCUAUCUGAGGUCUGUAGGGAAAGCAGUCUAGAGACUGUCAGCAGCUGGACAAAGCAUGCUGGUUAGUUCAAAGUUCUUGUGUUUUGUGAGCAUUAUAUUUUCAUUGUUUGGUGCAUCUUAGUGUGUCUAGAUGGGCUAUUGCAGGCAAGCUUGGGGAGAGUGAGAGAUAGGCUCCAUCCUGGGUAUCUCUCAUGCCUAUCCCUUGCUCAAAUGAUGGCUGCCAGUGCUAGCCCACGUCACUAGGUGUGAUGUGGAAUGGAUGAGAUUGUGGCUACUGAUAGGACAUCAGUAUGAAACCCUGUCCUAUGUGGCUUUUCCUGGAGAUAUGUGAAGAGUCAUUUACUUAUUCUAGAAAGCAGCCCGCAUACUAAAGAAACUACCCCACCUGCGUAAAUGCCCUAAGCUGAUGUGUUUACUGGUGUUAACUUGAAGAAAUAUAGGUGACUCAAAAGCAGCUCUAUCACAAAAACUCCUACCUAAGCACAGGUGAUGACUUACACAUGCAACUUUGCUGAAGUGUAACCCAUUGUCAGCCUUCCACUUCCUGGAUCUUCAACCACUUCCCAAGUCUAUGCACAGCUGGGGGCAGGAAGAGCACAGAAGGAGUCUUACGUGAGGGUCUGGUGACACUCCAUUCUGCUGAGAGUGGAUAGUAACAGUUCCAGCAUCACUAUCACAGACCCAAUGAUUACUAACCCCUGCAUUGUUCUCUUACUUUGAAUUUUAAAAAUUAUAUUCCAUUUUCUC
rnacentral:lncRNA from 1 species